rnacentral:rRNA from 1 species
UACGAGGGGUGCAAGCGUUGCUCGGAAUCACUGGGCGUAAAGGGUGCGUAGGCGGGUCUUUAAGUCAGGGGUGAAAUCCUGGAGCUCAACUCCAGAACUGCCUUUGAUACUGAAGAUCUUGAGUUCGGGAGAGGUGAGUGGAACUGCGAGUGUAGCGGUGAAAUGCGUAGAUAUCCGGAGGAACAUCAGUGGCGAAGGCGGCUUCCUGGCCUAAGACUGACGCUGAGGUACGAAAGCGUGGGGAGCAAACAGG